rnacentral:snRNA from 1 species
AUGCUCACUUCGGCAGGACAUAUACAAAAAUUGGAACAAUAUAGAGAAGAUUAGCAUGGCCCCUGCACAAGGAUGACUCGCAAAUUCGUGAGGCAUUCCAUAUUUUU